AAUGAACGUUGGCGGCGUGGAUUAGGCAUGCAAGUCGUACGAGAAUCGUAGCAAUACGAGGAAAGUGGCGGAAGGGAGAGGAUUACGUGGGAAUCUACCCUCAGAACUGGGAUAGCGGCGGGAAACUGCCGGUAAUACCAGAUAAUGUCUGUGGACCAAAGGUGUGAUUCCGUCUGGGGAUGAGCCCACGUCCUAUUAGCUAGUUGGCAGGGUAAUGGCCUACCAAGGCAAUGAUGGGUAGCGGGUGUGAGAGCAUGACCCGCCUCACUGGGACUGAGAACUGCGCAGACACCUACGGGUGGCUGCAGUCGAGAAUCUUCGGCAAUGAGCGCAAGCUUGACCGAGCGACGCCGCGUGCGAGAUGAAGGCCUUCGGGUUGUAAACCGCUGUCGUAGGGGAGCAAGAGAUGAGGGUACUCCCUCUGAUUUGAGCGAUCCUAGGAGGAAGGACGGGCUAAGUUCGUGCCAGCCGCCGCGGUAAAAC
rnacentral:rRNA from 1 species